rnacentral:lncRNA from 1 species
GUAUGUGUUUGGUUCUGCGGUGGACAGAAUUGAUUUUGACAUAAUUAAGUUUGACAGAAUUGAUUUUGAUAGAAUUGAGUUUGAUAGAAUUGAUUUAUGUUUGUAUAUAUUUAUACAAAAGUGAGUUGAACAAAAAAUUUGAGUGUAAAAAUCAAUUCUAGAAUGAGAAGCUACAAUUUCUAGCUUCAAGUAGAAUCAAUUCUGGAGGCAGAAUCAAUUCUACUUUUGAGAAACCAAACAAGCCAGAAUCAAUUCU